rnacentral:sRNA from 1 species
CUUCUCUCUCUCUCUCUCUCUCUCUCUCUCUUUUC